AACCAGCACCUCAAGUGGUCAGGAUGAUUAUUGGGCCUAAAGCAUCCGUAGCCUGUUCUGUAAGUUUCCGGUUAAAUCCAUACGCUCAACGUAUGGGCUGUCGGAAAUACUGCAGAGCUAGGGAGUGGGAGAGGUAGACGGUACUCGGUAGGAAGGGGUAAAAUCCUUUGAUCUAUCGAUGACCACCUGUGGCGAAGGCGGUCUACCAGAACACGUUCGACGGUGAGGGAUGAAAGCGUGGGGAGCGAACAGG
rnacentral:rRNA from 1 species